rnacentral:rRNA from 1 species
GACGAACGCUGGCGGCGUGCCUAAUACAUGCAAGUAGAACGCUGAAGGAGGAGCUUGCUUCUCCGGAUGAGUUGCGAACGGGUGAGUAACGCGUAGGUAACCUGCCUGGUAGCGGGGGAUAACUAUUGGAAGCGAUAGCUAAUACCGCAUAAGAGUAGAUGUCGCACGACAUUUGCUUAAAAGGUGCAACUGCACCACUACCAGAUGGACCUGCGUUGUAUUAGCUAGUUGGUGAGGUAACGGCUCACCAAGGCAACGAUACAUAGCCGACCUGAGAGGGUGAUCGGCCACACUGGGACUGAGACACGGCCCAGACUCCUACGGGAGGCAGCAGUAGGGAAUCUUCGGCAAUGGACGGAAGUCUGACCGAGCAACGCCGCGUGAGUGAAGAAGGUUUUCGGAUCGUAAAGCUCUGUUGUAAGAGAAGAACGAGUGUGAGAGUGGAAAGUUCACACUGUGACGGUAUCUGACCAGAAAGGGACGGCUAACUACGUG